rnacentral:rRNA from 1 species
CGGAUUUAUUGGGCGUAAAGCGAGCGCAGGCGGUUGCUUAGGUCUGAUGUGAAAGCCUUCGGCUUAACCGAAGAAGUGCAUCGGAAACCGGGCGACUUGAGUGCAGAAGGGGAGAGUGGAAUUCCAUGUGUAGCGGUGAAAUGCGUAGAUAUAUGGAGGAACACCGGUGGCGAAAGCGGCUCUCUGGUCUGUAACUGACGCUGAAGCUCGAAAGUGCGGGUAUCGAACAGGAUUAGAUACCCUGGUAGUCCGCACGGUAAACGAUGGAUGCCCGCUGUUGGUCUGAACAGGUCAGCGGCCAAGCGAAAGCAUUAAGCAUCCCACCUGGGGAGUACGCCGGCAACGGUGAAACUCAAAGGAAUUGACGGGGGCCCGCACAAGCGGAGGAACAUGUGGUUUAAUUCGAUGAUACGCGAGGAACCUUACCCGGGCUUGAAUUGCAGAGGAAGGAUUUGGAGACAAUGACGCCCUUCGGGGUCUCUGUGAAGGUGCUGCAUGGUUGUCGUCAGCUCGUGCCGUGAGGUGUCGGCUUAAGUGCCAUAACGAGCGCAACCCCUCUCCUUAGUUGCCAUCAGGUGAAGCUGGGCACUCUGGGGACACUGCCACCGUAAGGUGUGAGGAAGGUGGGGAUGACGUCAAAUCAGCACGGCCCUUACGUCCGGGGCUACACACGUGUUACAAUGGGUGAUACAGAGCGUCGGCUUGCCGCAAGGAGAGUCCAAUCGCGAAAGUCAUCCUCAGUUCGGACUGGGGUCUGCAACCCGACCCCACGAAGCUGGAUUCGCU